AGAGUGGUAGCUCAGUGGUGGAACAUCUGUUUCACAUAUAGAAGGUCCCAGGUUCAAUCCUUGUCUUCUCCA